rnacentral:lncRNA from 1 species
AGAGACUCAUUCAGAGAGCAAGACUCUGGUCUCUGCCCUGCUUCAGCACCCAAAUCUUUAGGGAGCUGGCUGGUGGGCUGCCAGGCAGUUAGGCCUAUGGAGAGCUGCUGUCAGUCUCUCUAGGAGGCCAUGGUUUCCUGCAUGUGGGGGAGAGCCCCAUCCCCCAGACUCUGGAGUGAGUUUAAUUUCCCAAGGCAAGUCUGCCUGAUUGUCCUCUCCUUUCCUUACCUUCAGCACCAAGAAGUUUCCGGUCCCGGUACAGAUCAGUGAGGAAGAGGCUAUUGACAAGUGUGGAUUUGCCCAGGCCAGACUCUCCUGAGAGGAGAGAGGACAGAGGCACCAAAUCAGAAGGUAAGAUCUAUAGCCAAAAAGCAACUCCACUGGAUCAAGGUUUAGGGGGGACUGCUUUCUUAUCUAAUUGGAACUAGACUAACCAAACUAUAGCAUUUUAGAGCUGGGAGGAAGCACAGAGAUUGGCUUGGGGGAGCAAGAGAUUGCCCAGGGUCACACAAAAAGAGGCAAAUGCUAGGAAACUGUUGGUCAGAUGCUCUUUGCAACCAAUUCGAACCCCCACCCCCACCCCACCCCACAUACAUACACUCUCACAGGCCAAUGACUCCUGGCUGUUUUGCAAAACAGUACAGCCACUCGCUGCUUGCUCCCUGCGACCUAUACUCCCUUCCCACUCACGGACACACACACCAUCCCCACCUGAAACACACCCUGCCCAACCCAGCCCUGCCCCUUUUUUACCUGCCACCAUGAGGGUAAAGUCAAAGCCUUUCUUCACGGACUUUCGGUGGACUUGGUUGGGGAGGGUUGCAAAGCCCACAUACUCCUUGUCAUCCUAGUAGACAGGAAGGCAGAAUGCAUCACGGUGAGGAGCCAAAGGGGCCCCGGCACCCAGCGCCAAUCUUCUCUCCCUUUCAGGCCUUUGCCCCAGCCUUAAAAAAGCAGUGCCAGACUUCUGUGAGUUCCCAUCUGAGGCCACCAGCUGGGCCUCCUGCCCUUGCUGAAACUGCAAAUUUCCAGUGCCCUUGGGGGCAGAUAUCUUGGAGCUAGGGCUGACACAGGACUGAAAUAGGUCCCAGAUACACACACACACAAACACACACACACACACACACACACACACACACACACACACUCUGCUCCCUGCCCCCGGUCUUCCUGCAGCAGCCCACUGAAAGGCAAAGGCAGGGCUGGAGGCUCUACCUCAGAGGAAUCAUAGGGAUCAAGCUUGCCCCAUGGGCUGCGGGGCCUGGCAGAUGGGCUGAGAGGGGCUGGGGCACAGAAGUACUGCUGGUUGUCAGAGGACUGGGGCCGCGAGGGGGGUCUGAACUCCAGGUCAUCAUCAUAGAGGUCCGGGGCCUGGGGCCUUGGCUCCGGGACUUGGGGCCUGGAUGCCCAGGUCUUAGCCUCUGGUGGGUGGCAGCUCGCAUUUCCUGAGAAAUCCUUCACGAACUUAAUGUUCAGUUGUGAAUGGCCCUUCCUUGCCUCCCAGCGAGGCUGGGGAGAGAAAGCACUCCCAGAUGAUAGAUACCUUAAGCUGCUUUGAACCUGAGAAGAGAAGGUGCAUCCCAAGUCACAGGAUGGUCAUUAAUGUUGGCCUGUCAUUCUUUUCACAUGUAAAUUUAAACCCCCUGGCAUAGCUGGGUUGGGGGGGUCUCCCCCACUGAUUCCCAAAGCAGCUAGGACACUGACCUCCUUUGACAAAGAGACCCUCAUAGAGGAGUCUGAUCUGAACCAGUCAGCCUAAGAACUUGGCUGGCUUGAGGGCAGGGGCCUGAGGAUGGGGACUUUGGUGAUGGUGGUUGGGGUGGAGGGGGGUGUGUCUUUAAUUAGAGAAGAACAGUGUGGCCUCGGACAAGCCGAAAGCACCAAGACCUCAGCUGAACUGAAGUUAGUGUGUGGCAGAAAAAGCCCCUCUAGCCCCUGCUGGGCUUGGCACUGGGGACAAUCAGUGCUUCCCUAGGCUUCCAUCCCUAGAACAAUCAGUCCAUCCAUCCACCAUGUGGGGAGAAGUGGGGGAAAGGAAUAAGGACAGGCCUCUCUCAGGAACCCCCGUUGGGGGAAGGUCACAGGGUCACCAAGACUUCCUGGCCAAGGCUUGGGCCUCUGCCUGGACACAGCUUGAGAGACAAGAGCCCAAAAGGUUGGCCCUACCAAACCUGAAAGCUUCUGAUCCCAGGGGGCCCAGGGAGCUCCCUUCUGGAGGCUGCCCACAGCCAACAUCCCGCCCCACAGGCUGGUCAGUGAUCCCCCCCUGCUGUAAACAGUUUGUGUCCCCCAAUGCAGAGGGCAAAGGCUGUGGGGCUUCCAGACUGAGAGGAGAGGACGGUGUGUGGCCUAGAGGUCCUGACACCCUUACGUUAUUUGUGGCAGGCUCUGGCAACAAUGUCAGGAGAAGAGAUUACAUCUUCAGAGCCAAGCAUCAAAAACUUCCUACCUGGGCACCUCCAGGGAGGCUGGCUGGGGUUACUGUUUCUCUUCCCACUACAGGCAGGUGGCAGGGAUGGGUGCCCCCACCCCCACACACUGCAGAGGGACCUGGCUGGUGGGGAGGGAGCGGGUAGAUGCAGCAGGAGGAAGCUUUCCCAUGGUUCCUGUCCCAGGGGCAGAAGGAUAUAGCUAAUCCCACCGGGCAGGAUGGUGGGCUGGGCCUCCCCCUCUCUGGGGUCCCUUUGGGAAAGGGCCAGGGACUGCCCCUUGUCAGGCUGAGGGAAGGAGGGGCCAAGCGUCUUACCAUCCCUCCUGGUGAGGCAGGCAGUGUUUGUGGGCCUCCUCUGCGUUUUCCAAAUGAAGUUGGUACUGGCCCCUGUGCCCAGGGUAGGUGGGUGAGGAGGGGUUACUCAGGUAAAAGCUGACCCAGGCGAGGAUGGGGACCCUCACCUCCGCUUAUUACUGAUGCGCCUUCCCCAGCCCAACAAGCGCGUCUCCACCAGCGGGCACCUCCCUCAGCACGGACCCACCCCUUCGUCCUAGAGCGCAGGCAUCACCCAGGGGUUGGCGCCCACUCCGUGGCUGCUCAGAGGGAAAAACUUGGGAGCAGCGACGCACCGCCGCCCGGCAGCAGUGCCAGCCUGUGCCCGGGGCCGGCGACGGCGCCUCCCACCCUGCACAGCCGCGGCUGCGGUGCCGCGGGUCCCCUUGCAGCCGCCCGGGAGCGACCGGCCCUGCGCACCCCAGCCCUGCCCCGCGCCCGCCCGCCUGCCUGCCUGCCUUACCAUGGCUGCAGCCCGGGCGGGGCCGGCUCCGCCUGGACAGCGCCCGAGCGACCCGCGGCGGAGCUGCGCGCCGACCUCGCAGCACCGCCGUCACCCUCCCGCCUCCCCGAGUGCGGACCGCUGCGGGAGGGGCCCGGCGGCGGGGGCGGAGCGAGUCGGCCCCGGGGCGGGGCCUGUACCUCAGCUGCUAGCGGUGCCGGCGCGAAGUGGGUCGGGGUGCCCAGCUGGGGGCCGGCCUCGCAGCCCGCGACCCCCGGAUGCGCAGAGUAUGCAGAGUCACCCAGGACAGAGCGGGGAGCCUCAGCUCCUCGUCCCCGGGCUGCACUGGACACCUGGCUCUUUUUUACUCAGCUCCAGAAGCACCGCGGGGGCUUGAGCCAGUUCCCAAAGAAAAAGGAACGGCCCACCUGACAUCCCCAGAAGGAGACGCCUUUGGAAGGGAGGGGGAGUUGCUGCAUGAGUUGGAGAGAAACCAUUAGUUACCGCAGGGAUUCAACAAGGUUUUCACAAAGUGAAUCCGGCUGAUGCCCAAGUUACUGAUCACUACACCUCCUAAAGGGGAAUGUCAGAUAUUCUCCACCUCCACCCGAGCUGUGAAGGGGCAGGUUAGAGGCAGGUUCCCUUCAUGCAGUACCCCAGAUUACAGAUUAAAGAGGAUUUGCUGCACAAAUUAUCCAGGGAUCAUCUGCUGGAAGGAUAGAAGGGAGAGGCUGAGUGGCUUUAACAGGGCGGUGUAGCCUUGCCUGUGGCUGAGGACAGUGGGGAGGGCCUCAGGAGAGGCCAACCCAGGCGUGACCCAGGCCCAGCUGGGCCACUCUUCCUCUGACAAGCAGGUGAGAUGCCGAGGGGACAGAUGCCCCAGAAGCUUUAGAGGCAUUAGAGGCUCAGAAAGGUCAGAGCAGCAGCUAGGGGAAGGCAGAUGCUUGGUGAGUGGGGUGUUGGUGAGGGAUUCCCUGAGCUAAGUAGGGUCUGAGCUGGUCAGGCUCCUGUGGAAGUUUCCAGAAGCAUGUCCCUUCCUGACCCGCAAGACCCCUCUCUCAAUGGCAGGCUGACUGGCUUCUGCCUGAAUACACUCUGGACAAAACUGAGACCCACAGGCACGGCCCUCUCUGUUGGUAGAAGUGCCAGAGGCCUGCCUGCUGUAUUUCAGUCUGACCUGUGAACCAGUAGCACUGGUUGGGACCAGUCAGAACUCAGCCAGGGGAGGGAAGAGGGCCUGGGGCAGCAGGUAAGAUCAGGCUGAGAAAAACAAUGGGGCUGCUACUGGAGAUGUUAUUGGCUGUUUGGCACUGGUGGACUGGAAGAUGGCAGGGUGUUCAUGAGCCAGCCGGUUGAGGAGAAACCUUCCUAGCUGGGUGGCCUUGAGCAACUUACUUCACCUGUCAGGGUCUCAAUUUCCAUACCUGAAAAUGAGGGGAUUAAACUAGAUGAUUUCUAAGCUUCCUUACAGCUCUGGCCUUCUAAAAGUGGAUGCAGUGGGGGAAGGAGGAUAUGCUGUAUGCUACUAUAGGCCUUGGAGGAAGAUAAGAGAACAAGGCAGCAGCAGGAGGUGCUGGAGAAAGGUUGGACAUGCAGUGAUUCAGGAGAGGGCCCAGGAUCUGAGUGAAGGGGGAGGACGUGUAGGAUGGGGGCAGCAGCUUGGGUUCCCUGAAAGGGAACCUCUAAAGGUACAGAGAGGCUCCCGGAAAAGACCUGGGGUAGAUCAGGGGAUCGGAAGCUGUACUCAGGAAAACAAAGACAUAAAGAGAGAAACCAAUGGCAGUUGGAAGUCUGCAGAAGCAGCAGCUGCUGCUACCAUCAGCCCCAAAUGUCAAGCUUGGACUAUACAAAGCCCCACUGUUCAAAGCCCUGGGCCUCCAAUACUCAUGUAUGCACUCUAAGAAUACCUCUUGCGUGCUUCCAGAGUCCUGUGGCCUAGGGUAAGGAGAAAGCCUACAUCAGGGAAGACAGGCCCCAGCAGAAACCCUUGUUUUCCUCUAUUAUAACAUGCCCCUCCCCGUGGCCUCAGCUGAAUUCCAAGUGUGGACACAGACACAUUUCAAAAGGCAGCCCAACCAGCUCAUCCUCAGCUGUGGCUGGAAUCCCAGCUCUUCUCUGGCACCUGCUGCCCAGGCAGCAGGUUGGUACCAGCUUGCCUUGAGGAAAGUGAGGCCCCAAGCAAGUCCUGGGACCACGGAACUUAGCUCUAAGCCAAGAAUAUUGGGGUCUAAUCUCUUUCUAAUCACUGUACCACAGGCCUAACAUGAGGCAUGCUGGGUGAAAUAAAAGCUGAAGACUGACUUUGAGCCAUCCCACCUGCACAAGCCCUGCAUGCUAACCUACUGCAGCAUUCGGAGAGCUCUGAGAGAACUUGGCCUGGGCACAAGUCCCAUGCCAACUUGGCUAUUAUCUCACUGCCUGAAAGUCCCUUGCCCUCUCUGGGCCUCUGUUUCCCCCACUGAAAGAGAAGACUGGACUUCUCCCAAGUCUAGCUCUUACAUUCUGUGUGAUGGAGGCAGGGUCUAAUACCUGCAGGGCCAAGAUACAGCAGCCCUUGCGUCAGUCACUGGGGAUUUACCGAGUGCUCUUCCUCAUCUCCAGCCAGCAGGUGGCCUGGCCAACUCUGCUUCAGCAUGGCUUAACUCUUGGAGCGCUAGUUCUCCCUCAAAAUUCAACAUCCCACCAGGCAUUGAUGGCCUUGACUACAGUACAACUCCCCAGGCACUGCUAGGGCAUGGUAUCUGAGCCAAGUGUCUAGGGGAGUGUCUAGCUGGGAAACUCAGCUCAGCCACCAUAGCUCUAGCCUGCUGUCUUGGGCUCCGUUGCUUAGGUCAGGCCAACAUGAUAUGUCCUGGCCCCCUCCACUAGGUCUUUCCUGCCCACCCAUAGGUGCAGGUUGUAUGGCACAGGACCUAAGCAAGGAGGCUGCAUGUGGGCCAUCCCAGGGCCCAGGUUCAAAGCCGAUAAUAAAGAGCAAUUACCACAGGAAAUCAGGAUUUCAGAUCUGCAUGACUAGCAAUGGCCACUUCUGCCUUUCAGUAGCUAAGUUUCCCUAAAGUGGCGCAAGAACUAAUUGUACAUCCCUUCCCCAGUGAGAUAGAUGAGUCACUGACGAUACAGUCAGAGAGUCCUUGGACCAAAGGCUAUCACUGGGUUGUGUCUUUCAAGGAAACCUCAGCAAGUCUGUCCAACAAGGUCUGUGGUGGACAAAGGCAAUAAACCAAAAUACAUUAAGCCCAAAUCUUCCCCCAGCUGCUGCCAUGUGUCCCAUGAUCCUGGGGGCAGGCAUAAGGUGUGGGUGGCAAGGCUGGGGAACACUGUGUUUCCUGGCACCUGCUGAAUGGCUGCAAAGAGGGGCAGUUCCAGAGCUGGCAGGGUGCUAGAAGCCAGCCACUCUGAUAGGGCAGACAGUCCUUCCAACACCCUCCGUGAACAGGGCAGGGCCAUAGGAGCUCAGGGUUGGAAAGGACUUACAAACCUCCUAAUGUGACUACUCACCAGAUGUCUGAAGGCUCCCCUGCCUUCCCAGCCUCUGCUCGAAUACAUACCUCCGAUGGCCAAAAAUUCACUGAUUCUAACAACUGCCCUUCAACCUUUGGGCUGCCAAGUUACCAAAGUCUUCACUAUACUGAGCCAAAAUCUGUCUUUCCCUGGCUUUUACCCUCCAUAUGCCUCCAUGCUGGAAGCUUUGCUGACUCAUUUCAUUGGACUUUGCUUUGUCCUUUGAUGUCCACACCCUUUCAAGUGACCCAUCUGUAUACUUUUCUCUACCAAAUUCACCACAAGCUCCUCAAGGGCAGGGACUAUGUCUUUUCUUUUAACCUCUGCUCACUUCAAAUCAGCAAACAUGUGAUGUGAUGUUUUUCUGGGUGUCCAGGCCUCUGCCCCCAGGAGAUGGCUGAUCAAUAUGGAUUGACUAAAAGGACUCAUUGAUUAGUUUUCCAUUCUGAUUUUAGAGCCCAGACAAGCCUUGAGGCUCUGCGCUUCAUUGACCCUUCACUUGCCCUUCAUCCUGGCUGCUCACAAGCUCACACCCACCUCCCAGCCCCGUGGUUCACAUACAAAGACACAGAUGUUACUCUCACUAAAACCUUUCCCUUCACAAUUCUUGAUAUCUAAAGGUGCUGCUGAAAUAUUGAGAAGUAUUUUCCAGGGAGACGUGGCUAUAGAAGAAGGGUUUCUAUACCAUAUAGUUGACUCCCUGGGACAGACUGCUCCUUAAAAUGCUUCCAGCUUUGAUGAACAAACUCUGAGCCUCAAUUUCUUCAUCUGUGAAAUAGGGAGAAUAAAUCCACUCAUAGGUUACUAUGAAAACCCACUAAUGCACUUAACAUGAUCACUAAAUGAAUGGUAGCUAUUAUCUCCAUUAAUAAGAAAAUUAUCAACAUCAAACCAGUAACUGUCAACUGUGACUAUUUCAAAUGCCUUCCCUCCAAAGGAUUUGGAGUGUGCAUGUGUAAUAGGUGUAGAGAGAUGGGAGGACAGAGAAUACCAGAGUAAUGCCUUAGAUUAAAUUGACAUUGGAAUGACCAAGCCGCCACCACCUGUGGAGUCAGCUUCUCCAGCUAGACACCAUCUCUAGAAAGCUGGUGCUUGGUCUCAGACCUACCGACCCAAAUUCCCAGAAACAGCCACUGUGGAGACCUCUGGAACUAGAUGACUUUGCCGGCAGUGGGUGUGCCAAGGAAGCGACACCCACAGUGUCAGCCUGAGCUUCCCUCAGGAACUGCCUCACAUUCUGUCCCCCUCCUCCAGGCUUCAUUCAGCCCCCAAGGUGCAGCUGUCUCCUGCUGCUCCCCUAACAGCAGCUGAGCCAAAGGCAGCUGAGCAGAGGAGGGUGAGGGGACAUGGCCAUUUCUGCCUCUCAGGACAGCCUUCCUCUGGCUGAGCACCUGUCAGGGUGGCUCCUGGGUUACAGAUUUACUUCCUCACCCAAGUAUGCACCCUGGCCUCUGAAGCCAAGCUCCCUAAUCUACCCAGGCCCACUGUUUCUGUUACUUGGAAAAUCCACCAUUUCAAACAGCACCAAACUACUCUGCAGAAAGAUGUGAUGUUGGAGAUGGGUUUCAGUCACCACACACCUUCUGAAAAUACACCAAAAAGUCCACAAUGGAUGUGGCAGAUUCUUCCCUAUGUGGGACUAUUCUGGGCAAAACAAAGAACUAAGGGAGUCUGGCCUCAGCUCUGCUAUCAAGUCUGAGAGAAAAGCAUUGUAUAUUCCUGCCCCCAUUUUAUAGGCAGAGGGAGUAACCUGCCCAGGUCUCACUGUGAAGCCAGGACAUUGUUCCCUCUGUGCUUCCAGGCAGACUGCACCACAGCUUGUAUUAGGUGACCACCUGUCCUGGUCUGCCCAGGAUUGAGGGGGUUCUUGAGACAUGUGACUUUCAGUGCUAAAACCAGCAAAGUCCCAGGCAAACCCUGAUGAGUUGGUCAACUUACCCUGUCCCCAGGUUAGCAAGUCUUAGCCAGAGGCCACCAGCCUUCCAUCCUGCUCUGGAAUUGGCUGCCCAUGGUAGCUGGAAAUGAACAGGGUGCCAUCUGACAGGGUAAGAUGCUUGCUUCCUAAGAAGCUGUGCAACAAUGGUCAAACUGCUAUAAAAAUCCUCCCAAGGCCGGGCGUGGUGACUCAUGCCUGUAAUCCCAGCACUUUGGGAGGCUGAGGUGGGUGGAUCACAAGGUCAGGAGUUCGAGACCAGCCUGACCAACUUGGUGAAACCUCGUCUCCACUAAAAAUACAAAAACUAGCUGGGCGUGGUGGCGGGUGCCUGUAAUCCCAGCUACUCAGGAGGCUGAGGCAGGAGAAUCACUUGAACCCAGAAGGCAGAGGUUGCAGUGAGCCGAGAUCGCGCCAUUGCACUCCAGCCUGGGUGACAGAGCGAGACUCUGUCUCAAAAAAAAAAAAAAAAAAAGCCUCCUGAGAUGCCCUGCCCCGUUUUCAGCAGUUCUGCUCCAUUCUUUCAACAAUUCUUUCUUCUCAACUACGAGCCUCUGCCCAAAGCAAGAGAAAUGCCGGGUGCAGUGGUUGGUGCCCAUAGUCCCAACUACUCAGGAGGCUGAGGCAGAAGGAUCACUUGAGCCCAGGAAUUCGAGAUUACAGUGAGCUAUGGAUUGCACCACUGCACUCCAACCUGGGCAACAGAACACUUUAAAAAAAAGCGAGGGAGGGUUCCUUUCACAUAGCCCAUGACCUAGGAUUCUGUGAACAUCCUCAUGAAUGUGGAAACUCCCUGAGUUCCUCAGAGGCUUUGGAUUUCGCUUUGUAAAGGAAGCCAACCUGAGCAAAAUGUCCCUGUGAUUCAAAAGCCAACAGGAGGCUGAUCAUCCCAUCCCUUCAGGGUCACAUGACAUGUCAUCCAAAAGACACUGAGGUCUGCCUUAAGUAUCAGUGAGAUGGCCUCCUCUGAUUCCUGGCCUAUUUUCCAGAGUUGGUUUCUUGCAUAAUUGAUAGAGCAGAGAGUAAACCACCUUGCCCUAUGACAGCCUGAGAAGUCACAUUUAAGGAUGAGUAGGUCAGAUGCCUUGAGGACACAGGAUCUUGGGGCUAACACACCCUGUCCAUCAAAGGCAUUGCAGCCCCUCCCAUCAGAACUGCUUUAUUUCCAGGAAAUCCCCAGGGCUAUGUGAGAAGGCAGCCCCCAGUGACCCAUUAGGGCACCCUCAGGACCUUCCUGUUGAGCUUUUGCUAGUUCUGAUCCCCAAAAAAAACCCAUCAGGAAUGCUUCCCUUAGUCCAGCAUAACCUCCUCUGGGGAGACUCCUGCCCCUAAUGUCCCAAUCCAAGGAUGAGAAGCAUCUGUCCACCCCAUUCCUUAGACAAAAGGGCUUUGAGGGGCCAUUUGGGAAGGGACUGACACUUAAAGAGAUGGGCUGAAUCAGGCCCCAUCCCCAGCUGUUCACCCAGAGAGGCUUGUGAAGCUCAACAACAAACAUGAUGCCUUCCACAAGCCAGGCAUCGUGGCCAGGCCACCAGAGAAUUCCUGCCAGGAAUGGAAUCUGGAACAGACUCUAUGGUCAACCAUUCCCAGAUCAGAGGAAUCAGAGGCCUUGGACACCAGCACCACAGCGUCUCCAUCCUGAGGCUGCAUGGGGCCAUGCCGGCUGAGGGACAGGCCGGGGAGAGCCUAGCUCUCUCAUGCAUUAGAGAGCACCUGGCCCAUCUCCAUGCCAUCCUACCUCCAGAGAGUCAGAGAAGACCAGCAGCCCAGCUGCUUGGGAGCCUUCUUUUCUUGGCUUCUGGGGAGCAGCUCUGCUGCUGAACAGGGCUGGAGAGCUGUAAUUAUCGAGACCGGAUAAGAGCUAUUUUAGGAAGGAGCCACCCUGUUGCCAAGGCUUUUGACUUCCUAAACUAAAACAAGAUGCACAGAAAAAGGGGAUGAAGGUGGGGGAGAACAGGGAGGAGCCUGCUCAGUCAAAAACAUCAAAUCUUGACUGAAGGGAAAUAUUAACCCCUUCCCAAAGGUACAGAUUUGCAUCUAGGGGUGAGCAAAAGGCUAGCUAAGACACCACCAUCCCCUGGCUUUGGAAAGGAGGGCAUAACCUGAUCCGCUACCCAUCUCCCUGCAGACUCCCUCUCUAAGACCCUCCAAGAGCACUUACUCAGCCUGUUCCAUCUAUUUUGACAUUUGAGCACAAACUAUUUCAUAUUGUUGUUUAAAUGUUUCCUGUCUGUGUUUUAUCUCCCCAACCACAUGGCAAGUUUCUCAAGGCCAAGGAAUGUGUGUGCUGUGAAACUUCAAUUCUUCCCCUAAAAGUGCCUAGCAGAGUGCUAGGCAACUGAAUAAAAAUUGUUUAUGGAAGGAAGGGAGGGAGAGAGAGAGGAGGGAAGGAAGGAAGGGAGAAAGGGAGGGAGGGACUUACUGUCUUGCAUGGAGAUAAUCUCUGAAAGUAGCCACUCCCACCUAUAGCUGAGCUCAGGGCAUAAGGUUGGAUAAGAACCCAUGGCAGUGGCAGGUGGCAGCCUUGUUUCUGGUCACCUCCCCUUCAGCUGUUCCAUUAUCUGAGCUUAGGCUGACCCCCACUAUGCACUCAUUUGUUUUCUAUCUGUGGCCAACUGUCCAUCCUGAGUCAGCCUAUGAAUGGGACCUAUUAGAGGCCAUUGCUAGGCUUUGGGUAAUAGAGAAAUAUGGCAAGAGAAAAUAAUGGAAGUAGGAAGAGCUUUGACCAUCUUAUCAAACAUGGGCCAAGAAUAGCCAAAGUACUUAUGGGAACAAUGCAGCGAAAUCAGGACACUGCCAAAUCAGGACACGGGACUGCUGACAGCAGAGUCCACCUUGAGUUUUUCCAAGUUGAGGACCCAAAUAGUGUGUAACCCAAAAAAGCGACCCCUUUCUGGAAUGCCCCAGGCUGAAAAGAGGAGAACCAGGUGGGGACUGAUCCAACGGCUACCUAGACGGCCUUCCCACAGAGCACUUGGCAAGAGUCAUCAUCUGCCAAAAGGUCUCUGUUCUUUCUCGGACUGCAACUAGCUCAUACAGUGCUUUUGUGCAAAUCCCCCUCUGGGGAGAUGCGGUUCCACAGGUGCACAGCUUGGCAAAUGGAACACAGGUUAUAUUUCAGCCCCCCACUUGCCCCCUCUACCAGGUGCUCUUGUGCAGUGAACAAUCUGCCCAACCAUAGGGAGCAGCUCUGUCUCCCUCCAUGCCCACUCCCAUUACAGGACAGGAGAUGGAUUUGGAUUGUGGGGUGGGCCCAGGAAGACUGGGAGUAACCUCCCAGGGGCAUUCUUACCUCCUCAUCUGUCAUAACAGAGUAGAAGCCAGGCAUUCCCAGGGGGCAGCAAAUGGAAUUCAGAGAGUGCCAAUAGGAGGAGAAAAAGAGAAAUUUACUAAAGAUGCCCAGUGGACUUGGGCAAACCUGGCCCAAUCCCUUCCUAGUGCAAGUGGCCCAAACAACAGCAGCUAGUAUUUACUGAGUGCUCACUGUUGCCAAGCACCGUGCUAAGUGUUUUAUUGGUAAUAACUUGUAAUAAUCCUCACAAUAACCCUAAGAGGGAGCCAUUAUUCUCAGUAACAGAUGAGGAAACUGAGGCUUGGAGAGGUAAAAUAACUUACCCAAGGUCACAGUCAGAAAAUAGUGGACCCAGGGCCCAAAUCCAGUUAGAUAACUCGAGUUCGUACUUUACUAUGCCCCUACUUUAUAGAGCUUUGCUCCCUCUGAGGAGCAGGACUGCCCUUCUCUGCUCUUUGCUGACCAUCACUAGGAGGGUUCAUGCUGGUUGGGAUUGGAUGGAAUUCCCAGGGCUCUCUCCUCCCCAGGAACUGCUUUAUCCAUAGCCCUGGCCUCUGUCAUGCUCAUAGGGCUGGAGUAUAUUUUGGGCCACAAUGCUCACAGCAAGAAGUCCCUGCUGCCAAGAUUUACUCCUUGAGGUACUUCUCUUAAGGAUUCUAGAGCUGCAAGACACACUGAUGGCCUCAAGGGGGAGGCCCAGACAUCUCUGAAGAUCUUGCCUGGGCAGCACCAAUAAGUACCCCAGGUGGUAAACUUGGGGCAUGAGGAGGGUUCUGAGGAACCAGAGAAACACAUGAGAAGAGCCCCCAGCCUGAAUUAGCGUGAAGUCAACUCUGAGCAAGACUGUGAAGCAGGCGGUUUGCUUUGGUGUAUUUUUUAAAAUCAUGUGAUAGAUGACCAACUAAGCUGAAAAGGCCAUGAGGCUUAAAUUAUUCUCCAUUCCAGAAGUAACUUCCUGUUAAAAGGAGACUCUUGAAAAUGGAAAAGGUUCCAAGCCCCAAAGAAAUGACUCUAAUGGUGAAAUUUUCAGCAAGAUGAGAAGUUCCUCUGCUUCUUCAGGUCAAAAUCCCAGCAUUUAUCUCCUAAACGACCCAGCUCUGUAGAUACAUAGAUGCCACUCCUCACCUGUCCUCCCAUCCCCCAAGCUCCCACAGUGGGCCCAUAGGAGGGAAAAGCACAGACCUUUUAGCCACCAGAUGACACGAUUGUACAUUUCCUCAGAGACAUCUGAAAGUAACAGAGAGAUGGUUGCUUUUCUUCUCUCUGUGGGAUGCACAUCCCACUCUCCACUACUUGCAGCUCCCUUUCUAGCUCCACAUUUCUCCACUCAAAGGUGCCCUCAGCCCUUGGUCCUCUCCAAGAAGCUCCUCCAGCCUAGGACUAUAUAUCGUAUUCCCACUCUCCCUUUCUCUUUUUUACACCCUCUCUCUGUGCCACUGUGAAUGCCUUUCCCCUCCUGGAAUCCCAGCUCAUCUGCAUCCCACCCUCUCCACUUUGUAGCCAGAGUAUUUACCUGAGGCCCUUAUUCUAUUUAACAGCCCUUGCCAGCCCUCACCCCAGCUCAGUUCUUCAUCCCCACUCAGGAAGCAGCUUUCAACCCUGCAAGCCCCUCUCUACUACCUUCAAUUAAAAAGGUAAGCAGUGUUGCCUGGAGGAGUCAAUGCCUGUCGCCCGGCCCAAGCAUCCAUCAUCAAUGUCAUUAGCUUGGAGCACAGAGAAGCUGGCAGGGAAGGAAUGGAGCAAUAGGCUCAAGGAUAGGACUAGCUUUGGCACUGGCAGGAGAGCAGCCCUUAGGCCCAGAAUGAAGAGGUGGUCUUUCCUGCCCACCCCAACAUCCCAUCUCACUAAAUUGGGGCUGCACCUGGGCAGUCUGCUUCUUCACAUACCCAGGAAGAAAGCAGUAAACCUUUGAAUGGGUUGUUUGCAGGUGUGCUUGGGGGUCUGUGGCACUUCACUCAGUGGUGCCCAACUUGGAAACUCCUUUGGUGGUGAUGGUGGUGAUAGGCUUGCCUUCUCUCUCUGGAACUUCAGAUCCUCACAGAAAGGGCUAGAGUCUAUUUUAAAACCGGACAAUAAAAGAUCUAGGGAAGGAGAGC